rnacentral:rRNA from 1 species
AUUGCCCCAGUAGCGGCGAGUGAACAGGCAAAAGCUCAAAGUGGAAAUCCAGGUCAAACUGGAAUUGUAAUCUAGAGAGUCGAUGCGAAGGCGUGGACCCAACAGACCUCGCGUGAGUUCCCUGGAACGGGACGCCGAAGAGGGUGACAGCCCCAUACGUCAGCGAGGGCCAGCCGUAGCAAAAGGCCUCCAAGAGUCGGGUUGUUUGGGAUUGCAGCCCUAAACGGGAGAUAGACUUCUUCUAAAGCUAAAUACUUAUGGGAAACCGAUAGCGAACAAGUACUACGAAGGAAAGGUGAAAAGAACUUUGAAAAGAGGGUUAAAAGACUUGAAAUCGUUGAGUAGGAAGUGGUUGGAGGGUAGUCACUUGCUGCGGGGACGCUGUGUCGCGCCGGCUUCACCGGCCGCCCGUGGGGACGCCGAAUCAAAACGGCCAACCGCGGGUCCGGCAACGGACGGCUGACACUCCGCCCCGCAUGCCAAAAGGCAGAGCGGGCUCGAGGGCAGGAUUCCNNNNNNNNNNNNNNNNNNNNNNNNNNNNNNNNNNNNNNNNNNNNGCGGCCUGGCAGUCCAAAAACGCGCCUCGGGCCGAGAGAAAUUUGCUCUAUCUCCAGUAAUCAUGGGAGGCCCUGCCAGACAGCGGUAACACGCACGACGUCUCCAACCGACCCGUCUUGAAACACGGACCAAGGAGUGUACCAAGCAUGCGAGUGAUAGGGUGGAGAAACCCGGCAUCGCGUAGAGAAAUCGAGUGCAAGCAGCUCCCAAAACAUCUCAGCUGCGGCCAACCGGAGGGCGCCGCCCUCAGGCUUGAGCAAGAGCAUACUUGGUACGACCCGAAAGAUGGUGAACUACGCCUGAGUACGCCGAAGCCAGGGGAAACUCUGGUGGAAGGUGGAAGCGAUACUAACGUGCAAAUUGUUCGUCAAACUUGGGUGUAGGGGCGAUAGACCAAUCGAACCAUCUAGUAGCUGGUUCCCUCUGAAGUUUCUCUCAGGAUAGCAAGGGCCUGUCGUUGGAAGCAGUUUUAUCAGGUAAAGCGAAUGAUUAGAGGACUCGGCGCUCAAAGAGUGUUGGCCUAUUCUCAAACUUUAAAUUGGUAAGCGCCGGCAGUUUAGAUCUUAAUUGAACUGCCGGGCAGAAUGCGGGGCUCUUAGUGGGCCAUUUUUGGUAAGCAGAACUGGCGAUGAGGGAUGAACCUUUCGCUGAGAUAAGGCGCCUAAGUUCCCGCUUAUGAGACACCAUAAAAGAUGUUGGUUCAUUUAGACAGCAGGACGGUGGCCCUGGAAGUCGGAACCCGCUAAGGAGUGUGUAACAACUCACCUGCCGAAUGAACUAGCUCUGAAAAUUGAUGGCGCUGCAGCGGGACACAUUUUUUGCAAGCCGAUACUCAGCCACUGCGGCAAAUGAGCGAAGCCAGCAGUGCGUAAGAGGGCGUGGCCGUCACAGUGCGGAAGGCCAGGGCGUGAGCCCGGCUGGAACGGCGGCCAGUGCAGAUCUUGGUGGUAGUAGCAAAUAUUCAAAUGAGAACUUUGAAGGCCGAAGUGGGGAAGGGUUCCGCGAGAACAGCAAUUGGUCGCGGGUGAGUCGGUCCUAAGGCUAGGGCGAAAGGCCGAAAAGCACGGGCGCCUGGCACACAGGCAACAGCAAAUGCCCGCUGCCGAAAGGGAAGGCGGUUAAGAUCCCGCCACCUGCCAACACGUGGAUCCUCUACAAGAGCGGCAACGCAAACGAUCCCGCAGACGCCGGCAUGUGUCACUGGAAGAGUUCUCUUUUCUUUUUAACUCGCGGCAGUGGCCCUGGAACUGGCUUAUCCAGAGAGAGGGCCGUACGCCAGGCAGAGCAGUCCACUCUACGGACUGUCAGUUGCGCACAUGACGGUCAGUGAAAAUGCGGGGGAGCGACUGUGAUAUCACGGCAGGCCGUACCGAUAACCGCAUCAGGUCUCCAAGGUU